rnacentral:rRNA from 1 species
AGGACUAACGCUGGCGGCGUGCCUAACACAUGCAAGUCGAACGAGGGGUAGCAAUACCCCUAGUGGCAGACGGGUGAGUAACACGUAGUCAACCUACCUCUUAAUGGGGGAUAACUAGCCGAAAGGUUAGCUAAUACCGCAUACGAUCGUCGAGUGGCAUCACACGACGAUGAAAGGAGCAAUCCGUUGAGAGAGGGGACUGCGUCCCAUUAGUUAGUUGGUGGGGUAAUGGCCUACCAAGACUCCGAUGGGUAGCUGGCUUGAGAGAGCGACCAGCCACACUGGAACUGAGACACGGUCCAGACUCCUACGGGAGGCAGCAGUGAGGAAUUUUCCGCAAUGGGGAAACCCUGACGGAGCGACGCCGCGUGUGGGAAGAAGGCCUUCGGGUCGUAACCACUGUCGAGGGGACGAUAUUGACGGUACCCUGGAGGAAGCCCGGCUAACUACGUGCCAGCAGCCGC